GAUGAACGCUGGCGGCGUGCCUAAUACAUGCAAGUCGAGCGAACAGACGAGGAGCUUGCUCCUCUGACGUUAGCGGCGGACGGGUGAGUAACACGUGGAUAACCUACCUAUAAGACUGGGAUAACUUCGGGAAACCAGAGCUAAUACCGGAUAAUAUAUUGAACCGCAUGGUUCAAUAGUGAAAGACGGUUUUGCUGUCACUUAUAGAUGGAUCCGCGCCGCAUUAGCUAGUUGGUAAGGUAACGGCUUACCAAGGCAACGAUGCGUAGCCGACCUGAGAGGGUGAUCGGCCACACUGGAACUGAGACACGGUCCAGACUCCUACGGGAGGCAGCAGUAGGGAAUCUUCCGCAAUGGGCGAAAGCCUGACGGAGCAACGCCGCGUGAGUGAUGAAGGUCUUCGGAUCGUAAAACUCUGUUAUUAGGGAAGAACAGAUGUGUAAGUAACUAUGCACGUCUUGACGGUACCUAAUCAGAAAGCCACGGCUAACUACGUG
rnacentral:rRNA from 1 species